rnacentral:tRNA from 1 species
GCCUUUGUGGUGUAACGAUAGCACAGUCGGCGAGUAUUCGAGAGGUCCAGGUUCGAAUCCCGGCGAGGGCA